rnacentral:lncRNA from 1 species
AUAUAAAUGGUAAGAGCAACAGCAGGUGAAUAUUAACUUUAAAUCUACAUCUAUGAGAAACAACUAGAGAUAUAAAGACAAAAGGCUGAUGGAAAAUUCGUAAGGUCAUCAUCUUACUGAUAUGAUAAUUCUUUUGUUCCAUUGCUAAGCUUGUUUCUGCACCAUAUGGAAGAUCUUCAAGGAAACUGGAGCUCCAAAAACUUCAUAUAUUCUUCAAAAAAAAAAAAAAAAAAAAAA